rnacentral:rRNA from 1 species
UACGAAGGGGGCUAGCGUUGCUCGGAAUCACUGGGCGUAAAGCGCACGUAGGCGGCUUUUUAAGUCAGGGGUGAAAUCCUGGAGCUCAACUCCAGAACUGCCUUUGAUACUGAGAAGCUUGAGUCCGGGAGAGGUGAGUGGAACUGCGAGUGUAGAGGUGAAAUUCGUAGAUAUUCGCAAGAACACCAGUGGCGAAGGCGGCUCACUGGCCCGGUACUGACGCUGAGGCGCGAAAGCGUGGGUAGCAAACGGG